GAGCCACUGACAUCCAUGAGGACAUGCUCGUGUUGGCCGCCGCGGAGAUGGACUUGGAAGCUCCUACUCCUUCUCUGUCACAUCCACUGGAGACCGUCUUUCUGGAGCUCUGCAGCAUCCACAAGCAGGGCCGUCGACUACUUUGGGGUCAAAGUAAACUGCUGGUCAGCCGUGAUUAGGGACUACGCCAUAAUCAGGGACGCGGUCAUCAACUGUCGCCUCGUCAUGGCCAACAGUGCUUAUUCAGCUGUUCGAGGUGAACCAGCGGACCCUGUCACAGUGGCACAUGGACCGUUGCAAGGCCAACGAGCAGCAGGUGCUGCUCCAGUCGGUGGACCAGCCCUCCGCCACUGCAGUGUCUACAGCACCACUCCCUGCAGCCUUGCAGCUACCUCAGUCUGCAAAGCAGCCAGACAACCCCCUUCCAUACCUCAAUCCGAAACUGCAGCAGCCUCAGGUCGAGGCCCAGGGUGACCCAAACAUCAGAGUGUCUUCCAGGACGACGCUAUGGCGGAGGAAAAGGAAGCUGGACCAGGCUUAUUCAACUGCUACGACCACUGCCACCACUGCUUCCACUGCCACCACUGCUACCACUGUUUUGACUCUUCCUCGCAGGAAGGAGAAACGUGUCUACACCUUCAAUUGCCGUCUCUGUGGUCAGCCAAAGACCAAGGUGUUUGGCCACAGCCGCUUUAAGUCCGAGAACUUCUGCGCGUCCACAGCUUGGCGCUCGGUGGAUGAGUGGCUGGCCAAGAAGAGGAGGAAAACGUCGCUGUUUGACACUGCACUACCAGCACACAGGCACCAAGCCCUACCUGCAGCAUGCCGGCAACAAGCUCUGCCCGCAGCAAGGCCCAACCAGCCAGCCCUGAAAAAGGCUGUUGGGCGCUGGGACGGCCCGAAAUGUCAUGUUUUGCAGUGUGUCACAUUAUUGUUCAAUAGUAAGCAUUGUAAAUGUUGAAUCUCUUUUUUUGUGAUUGGGGAGAGAGUGUUUCAACACCCAUUGACA